rnacentral:rRNA from 1 species
GUGAGGAAUAUUGGUCAAUGGGCGAGAGCCUGAACCAGCCAAGUCGCGUGAAGGAUGAAGGUUUUAUGAAUUGUAAACUUCUUUUGCAGGGGAAUAAAGUACGGUACGUGUACCGUUUUGUAUGUACUCUGCGAAUAAGGAUCGGCUAACUCCGUGCCAGCAGCCGCGGUAAUACGGAGGAUCCAAGCGUUAUCCGGAUUUAUUGGGUUUAAAGGGUGCGCAGGCGGGUGGAUAAGUCAGCGGUGAAAGUUUGCAGCUUAACUGUAAAAUUGCCGUUGAAACUGUCGAUCUUGAGUGCAAAUGAGGUAAGCGGAAUGUGUUGUGUAGCGGUGAAAUGCUUAGAUAUAACACAGAACACCGAUUGCGAAGGCAGCUUACUGGGAUGCAACUGACGCUCAUGCACGAAAGCGUGGGGAUCAAACAGGAUUAGAUACCCGGGUAGUCC